GACGGAGGAUGCAAGCGUUAUCCGGAAUGAUUGGGCGUAAAGCGUCCGCAGGUGGCAGUUCAAGUCUGCUGUCAAAGACCGGGGCUUAACUUCGGAAAGGCAGUGGAAACUGAACAGCUAGAGUAUGGUAGGGGCAGAGGGAAUUUCCGGUGGAGCGGUGAAAUGCGUAGAGAUCGGAAAGAACACCAACGGCGAAGGCACUCUGCUGGGCCGACACUGACACUGAGAGACGAAAGCUAGGGGAGCGAAUGGG
rnacentral:rRNA from 1 species